rnacentral:lncRNA from 1 species
UCCUUUACCUUUUACCUUCACAGGUGUAAUAUCUCUUCUAGCCCAGCAAGCAGCCAAACUGACAUCAGAUUGAACAGAUAUUCCUGUAGUAAGUUUGGAGUCUGGUACUGGAAAUAUCAUGAUCCAGAAUCAUAAUGGCAUCUUAACCUUAUACAUCCAUCAAUAUUCCUUGCUCUUUGACAAUUCACCUUUGUGAAAUACUCUUCUGCAGAUCAACACAGGCUGAAUGUCCAGUAUCACCAGGCAGAACUUAGUUGGAUUGGAAUGUAAACACCCUCCCAAGUUGGUAUAGAAUUUUAAUUGUUCUGAACUUGUGCUAUUUCAUACUAUCAUGUGCAGAAUGAGUUCCUGUUACGUAGCUGGGGAGAGCACCUUCUCAGGUGGUCCCAAUACUAACUCAACCAACCAACCAACCAACCAACCAACCAAUAAACUGUAUUGGGCUGGCCCUGGCUUGCACACUGAAUGUUCAAAUCUUGCAUGAACUCCCUCACAUUAAAGAUUAGGCAGCUGCUGCCUCUGUUGUCUUCCUGGCACAUCCUGAAGACAAGCAUUUUCAGUAAAGAUCUUUCCUAGUCUCCCUCUCUAUUUUAAUUGUUUGUAGAUAUUUUAUAGUUAUGUUUGCUGCCCUGGGCUACUUUGGAGUAUAGUAUAGUAUAGUUGUUGUUGUUAUUAUUAUCAUUAUUUGGUCUGGGUGAGCCAGGCAUAUAAUAUUUCAGCCUUUUUCUGUGCAGGGGCAGGAUUCGUUUCCUAGCUUGUAUUCAUGGGUGGUGCCAUUUUGGCUACAUAACGAUUCUCACUUACUCCUCAGCUUCAGCAAUAGAGGGAAUCUUCUUUUUUCCAGUUUUUUUGGGCCUUGUUCAGCAAUAGUUUAAGAAUUAACACUAAAUGACACUUAAGCUUAAGCAGAUUUUGUAUUUUUAAAAUAAAAAAAUCCCAGUGCAUUCAUUUCAAUGCAUGAUUAAGAUAAAAAACAAAACAAAACAUUUUUACUCCCAAUUCAUCAAGACAAUCUGAGACAAAGCAACCCUGCCAAGGGAUUUGGGUGGCUCAAAGCCAGCACGCACAUUUAAGCAAGAGGGGGAAGAAAAUGUCAGAGCAAGAGGCGAAAGUGCUAAUUUUAAGCAUUAAAACAAUCCCUGGCUUUUUCCCAUGUGAAUUUGUGGGUGGACCGUUCCUCAUGCUGGCAAUCUCAGAAGCACGGCCGCUGAAUUAAUAUGGAACUUUAUUAAUAUGAUACAACUCAAUUAUGCCUGCAAUCAAGAUAUAUCUAAUACUUCAACGACGUAAUGCUGGGACCUGACAAAUUCCCUACACAGCAGAUAAGAUGCAAGACAGCUGACAUUCACAAAAUCUCCCCGACUGUGAGGUUAAUAAUCUCCUUAAUACGAGCCCAGCUGCUUUAGUAAAGCCAAGAUGCUUAGUCCAGCUGGCGAGGAAAGAGUUAAAGCUUUGUGGGCUUCAUAGAGGCAUCUGGCUGGUCACUGUUAGAAACAAGAUGCUAGGCUAGGUGGGUCUGAUCCAGCAGGGCUUGUCUUAACCUUGCUGUUGUUUUCUGUGCAAGCAUAAUGCAAGAUAUCACCUACAGCAGAAAAAUGAUAUAGCAAAAGCAUUGCUGAUUAAAAGGCAGAACCUUGGAUGGUGCCAUGAAAUGCUAGAUUAGCAAUCUAAUCUAAUAACUCUGAACUCGGGCAGGGAGUGCCAACAGACAUUGAGCCAAAAUGGGAGCACUGGGGGGAAAUGAAAGAUGUGUCAGCAGGUUCUGAGAAACCCAAGGUUUGCAAAGUUAAACCAAAACAGAACGACUUAGCCCAAUGAGGACUGAGCAUGCUCGGUAGCCAUGGAAUGUUGUGUGUCAGUCGGAAAAGAAGAAGAAGAAGAAGAGUUUGGAUUUGAUAUCCUGUUUUAUCACUACCCGAAGGAGUAUCAAAGCGGCUAACAAUCUCCUUUAUCUUCCUCCCCCACAACAAACACUCUGUGAGGUGAGUGGGGCUGAGAGACUUCAAGAAGUGUGACUGGCCCAGGGUCACCCAGCAGCUGCAUGUGGAGGAGUGGGGAAUUGAACCUGGUUCACCAGAUUAUGAGUCCACCGCUCUUAACUACUACACCACACUGGUAACUUGGGGGAAUGGCAUGGCAUGCUGGAAGAGGGAAUUGCUAUCUGGCACCUUGAAUAAGAGCAUCCCUAUUAGGACGCGAAAACAGAUUGCAAUAUUUCAGUUGCAGGUCCUGAUUUUCUAAUCUAUUCUCAUACUUUAUUAGGUCAAUAUUCUCAUGAGAGCUUUUAAAAAACUACUCUUCGUUUUAGGGCCUUUUUCCUAAUUAGAAAAAAAGUACAUUGUCCUUGCGAAGUUUCCCACAAAUGCAACAUUUCAGGUCCAUUGUAGGGCAGGUGUGCAUGGUCCUCAGAUGUAUAAUGUAUGUACAGGAAUAAUAGUUGAGAAUGCCCAAUUUCUCUUGGAGAAAUUCCCUUUUUGCUAUGUGUCUAGUGAAUACUACCUGUGGACUCUGCUCUGUGUUGGAUCCCUCCAACUGACCCAGUUCCAUAUUGGAUUGAUAGCACUGGCAACUGGAAAAUGCAACCUUUCGGAUGGAUUUUAAUGAAUAGGAGAGGUUAUUUUAUUUAGUAAUUAUCCUUCCUCUUUCUCACUCAUGUGAGGAUGCCAAUAUCUAUUUCAGCAGUGUUAGAAUCACCAUCCAUUGUUGUUGCUGCUGCUGUUGUUGAAAAUUGUAUAUCAUCCUUCAUCCGUCUCAGGGCAGGUCUCAACAU